AGAGUUUGAUCCUGGCUCAGAAUCAACGCUGGCGGCGUGCCUAACACAUGCAAGUCGAACGAGAAAGUCCGCAAGGAUGAGUAAAGUGGCGACCGGGUGAGUAACACGUAGCUAACCUACCCUCAAGUGGGGGAUAACCUGGGGAAACCUGGGCUAAUACCGGCAUAACCUCCCGACGGCGUGAGUCGUUGGGAGCAAAG
rnacentral:rRNA from 1 species